rnacentral:lncRNA from 1 species
AUUGUUUGACUUCCACCAGACACACUUCAGAAACCCUUCAUCAGUGUUAGUGACUAUGAGGAUCUGCUCAUCAUAGCAUGUGAAAUACCAGCUUCAGUCAGAGCUGAUGUGUCCUGUAAUCUCUACACUGGAGAUGGAGCUCUUCUGUACAGCCAUGACUCUCAGUUGAGUUCAUCUGGAGAUCAACAUCUUUGUAUGUUUAAUCAAAAUCUUAGUGAUCUCUUGAGAAGAUCAGGAAACAUCAGACAGUUGAGCUGUGAUUAUUCACUCAAGACUAAACCUGACAUCAGAUCUCCACACAGUGACACAUACACACUCAGAGUUGUCUCAGGUUCAACACCAAACACCACUGAACAGAAAACUACAACAGCCGAGAAAACCUGUGAGUAACUGUGUUUAUACAUCAAAAAUUUUUUAUAUUUUUUACUUAACCAUAAAUGUCCUUAUGAUUAUUAGAUGC